CCAGAAGCAGAGUGUGGGAGAAGCCCCUGCAGGGGGCCCAACCAACAAAACACAGUGGAAAGAAGCGUGCAAGGGUGUGGGGCCGUGUCAGCAAUAGCAAGCAAGCCAUCCUGAAAAGAUGCUGCUGGCCACAUGCCACGGCCAUUUCACAGCAGCUGAGAGAGGGCCACUUUCUCACCAAGUCCAACAGAAAGCCAACAUUGCCCUACAAAUCUUUUCAAAACCUCUCAACCACCUUAGCUCCUGAAAAAUCAAGGCUGUCAUGUUCCAAAAACUCUAAUAAACACACUGAAGGGUUUAUCAUACAAAAGUCAGAAAAUGUACAACUCUCUGUAAAAUAUGCCUUCGAGUUCAUAGUACAAUACUCAUUAUGAGUGUUUGCAAUUGUUAGGACCCAAAUCAAUAGGCCUAUGAUUGGGAAAAUGUUCUAUUUCUUCUUCAGGAAGCCUGAAGAUAGAUCUUGUGGGAGGAGGCACAGCUUAAGCCUUUUGGCUGAUUCUGUUGUGGAGGAGGUUUGGUAAGCUCUGUGCUGUGACUUCUUUUUAAUAGGCCUUCCACAGAUCUCUAUUUCUCAAUUAUUUUCCUUUUGUGAAUGUGUGAGCUUAUACAGAACUUAAAUGUAUUGCCAACAACUCGUAUGUUAAAAUCUUUGAUUUAUUUAUUUAUUUUUCAGUUAAUGUUUCCCUAACUGAAGUGCUUAGAGUCAGGAUUCAGUCUCACAUACUUGCUACUUCGCUUUACCUGUCCAAAAUUAAUGACUUCCCUUGUAUCUGUGUAAUCUUAAGUGUCUUAAAUGACUUUUAAUAUUAAAGACCUUUCCUUGAUCUUUCUUGCAUCACUUGAAGGCAGGAGUCAUUUUGGGGUGUAUUGUUCUUUUCAAAUCAGUCAUCAGUCAAAGUGAGAAGAUGUUUUUGAUAGGAAAGAGUGCAGUUAAAAUUGCAUGCGAAUUUCUACUAUAGCAGCUCUGUAGUUACUGCUUUUGCUAAAAGCAUUUUUUCAACUGAAAUACCAUGUCCAGGCCUUUAUGUGGAGAUAGGUACCUGUGAGUAUAAAAAUGAGCAAGGACAUAAUCCUAUGUCAUUUUCUUUAACUAAAGAGAAAAUGUUACUUUAAUAUUCUAGGUAUAUAAUUGUUUCCUUUUAUUUAUUUAUUGAUAUGAGUUUUCACUGUUUCAAAAUGCAAGAAGUUCAGGUACCAGAGGUUGGUUUUUGGAGACCUAAGAAACCGAACAAAUAAAGUUGUCUUUGUAUGAUGUUCUCAUCUUUCUGGACUUAAAUAUUUCCAAACUGUACUUUUAGGCACUGCAGUGAAAAUAAAGGAAUUGGAGGACAAUGCUGCAGCAGCAAGACUAGCACAUAUAGACUGUAAAUACACUACAGAAAUCAUGCAGUUCAUGAAGACAGCGUUCAUCCUCAAGUGUGCAAUGGAAAGACCAGGUUGAAGAAAGGAACAAAGCUGAAGAAUCCUCUGAGAUAUUUGUGAAUCCUCCAGCCAGCUUCAGCCUGCAGGAAGGCUCAAUAGUGGACAGGUCCAUCCUCCUGAACUUGUACCAGAGCAUGGCAAAUGCCCACGUGCUUGCCAAACAGACAAAUGCCCCCCUGGAAGAGUUACCUUGGACAGAGUUUUGUGCACUCUUGCAUGAGAAUGUUGAAGCCCUGAUCUUGAACUUCCACAAGGCUAACAAGAGGAGAUAUCUCAUCUAGAGUACACUUGCAAGCACCAGGCUGACGCUAUGAAUGAACUUCAGCAGAGCCAGAAGUAUGCUUUUGAAAAAAUGUCUGAACAGUUAAAAGCACAGGAACAUUGGUGGCAGAAAGAAAAGCAAUAUCUUGAACAGCAGUACUCAAAUGUCCUUGCAGAAGUUCAUACAAGAGCACAGGAAUGUGAAGAAACGGCCCACAAAAACAGGGGGAAACUGUAUGGCCUUGAACAAAUCUGCGAGCAACUGGCCCAGGAAAACAAUUCCAUGAAAAAUACAUUAUUAGACGCUUUCAAGGCACGCUCAUCCCGCUGGCAGCCUGUGCGCUGCUGUCAGGGGCCCUGUGUCCCCUCUACGGCCGACUGAGCGCUAUGUCUUGCCAAAGAGACAUUCUCCAGGAGCAGGUGAACCAGCACCAAUUAUUGAACCAGAAGAUCAUCAGGCUCCUUUGUGGUCUCCCUACUAUGGUGGAAAGCAACCAAGAUGAAGGCAGGCUGAGGCAGAGAAGAGCCAAGAGCCUGGUUUACGUGUUCCGAAGGGCUGUGAUUGCAGUUCUGGCUGCUAACAGGCUGAGGGCUCUGGCCAGAUAUUCUUGUAUCUUUUUCGUCUGGACAGAUGGCUCCAGAGGAAGCAAUGGAAUUCAAGUUUGUGUGGGAGAAUCCAGAGGCAGGCAUCAUCUGCCGCGUUUUGGAGAGGGAAGAGUUGACUGUGAUGAAGCAGUCGGGUGGCUGACUAGCUCUAACCUCUGUACUGCAAUAGUCACUUCCAUCUCUGAACUGGAGGGUGCUCUCAUCAUUCAAGAUCCAGGCUCCUGGCUUUCUAAACACCCACUUAUCAGUACAACCAGGAGCUGCUUUGCAAAACUGAUGGGCAACCUGAGCAUACUGAUGGAGACAGCUCAAGGGAGCAUUCACGGGUGCAGAGCUUACCUGGAGAGGGACUCCCUGAUACAGAGGCUGGCUCAUGGGCUCAACAGAGUAAAUGCCCAGGCCCUGGAAGCUGGAUUGUAUGACAGACUGCCCAGCACAAGAAACAUAGCAAUCUUGCAGCAAGAAAUAUUUGAAUUUUCAUGAAGGCUUAAUGUGUAAGAGGUAGAGUCCCACACACUGCACCUGCAGCUUUCAGAAUGCAGAUGGACUUUCAAUGAG